CAUUGUUGGAGAGUUUGAUCCUGGCUCAGGACGAACGCUGACGGCGCGCUUCACACAUGCAAGUCGAGCGAUGGCACCGGCCUUUGUGGUGGGUGUGCAGAGCGGCGGACGGGUGAGUAACACGUGAGUAACCUGCCCUGGGCGUGGGGAUAACCCUGGGAAACCGGGGCUAAUACCGGAUGGCCCCAUUCAUUCGCAUGGAUGGGUGGGGAAAGGUGCACCUUCGUGAGGGGGUGUUCCGGCUUGGGAGGGGCUCGCGGCCCAUCAGCUUGUUGGUGCGGUAGUGGCGUACCAAGGCGAUGACGGGUAGCCGGCCUGAGAGGG
rnacentral:rRNA from 1 species